rnacentral:misc_RNA from 2 species
GUACCCUCAAGCUUUGCUUGGUGUUGGGCGUUUUGUCUUUGGCUUUUGCCCCAAAGACUCGCCUUAAAACGAUUGGCAGCCGGCCUACUGGUUUCGGAGCGCAGCACAUUUUUGCGCUUGCAACCAGCUAAAGAGGCCAGCAAUCCAUCAAGACCUUCUUCUCAC